CCUGGGCCUUCGGCCCAGGCUGAUAUGUUUCGGGCCUUUGGCCCU
rnacentral:sRNA from 1 species